CCAGUCAAUGACAGGCUGAAGUCUGGAACCCAUGGGCACGACCAAAUGCUGAUUUCCACCUCAUUAGAUCCUUUGCCAGGUCUUGACUGCUGCCUCUUUCAGCUACUACUUGUUUGUGGGUCCUUCUGGUUCACUUUUUGUCUUCAGGAAACGGAAAACUGCUUCACUGGUUUGAGGUCAGGUUUCUUUGCCUUGAGAAAAUUUUGGGUUUGGUAGUAUAUUUUAAGUCAUUAUCUGCACUGUUCUGGCAGUAUUUGGCUGGAACUAAGCACAUAAUACAGCCCUACAGCCUAAUACAUGUCAUAAUUCAUUAACAGCACAUGCCCAUGCCAUAACACUGCCUGCGCCAUCUCCACUUUGACAGAUGAUGUAGUACACUUCAGAUUACGAGCCUUUCCUUUCCUUCUCCAUACUCUUCACAUCAUUCUGGUGCAAGUUC